GUCUGGAUGCUUCUAUAUUGGAAUUUCGCUCUUGUUGCCCAGGCUGGAGUGCAAUGACGAGAUCUUGGCUCACUGCAACCUCCACCUCCCAGGUUUAAGUGAUUCUCCUGCCUCAGCCUCCCAAGUAGCUGGGAUUACAGGAAGAAAAAUGGAACUAAAAAGGGAAAACAAUAGCAACAAAGAUCAAAAUAAAUAACAAGGAAGCGGAGAGAAGAAAGAACAUGGUGAAGAGAGUGAAACGCAUUGUCAUUUGGGGUGAAUUGCAGAAAGAAAUAAAUUAUUGUUCUUAUAUAUAAG
rnacentral:lncRNA from 1 species